rnacentral:rRNA from 1 species
UACGGGGGGGGUAAGCGUUGUUCGGAAUUACUGGGCGUAAAGGGCUCGUAGGCGGCCAACUAAGUCAGACGUGAAAUCCCUCAGCUUAACUGGGGAACUGCGUCUGAUACUGGAUGGCUUGGAUUUGGGAGAGGAAUGCGGAAUUCCAGGUGUAGCGGUGAAAUGCGUAGAUAUCUGGAGGAACACCGGUGGCGAAGGCGUCACUCUGGACCAAUAUUGACGCUGAGGAGCGAAAGCCAGGGGAGCAAACGGG